AUGGGUUUGUGUUUGGGGCGUCAGUCUGUUUCAUCUCGCACCGCUCCUUGUGCUGGAGCUCGAGCUCCACAGCUGGAUUUACUUACAGCCAAAGCACUUCAGAAAGCCUCGCGGACCCCAGACUCAAGCCGCGUCUCUCUUCCUCGAGUCUGUCGGCAUCCUCAGACGCGUCGUCGAUCUCCAGUCUUCAUUUCGACUACAGGAGCGGCAAACGCAGCGCGUCCAGGGAUUUAUCGCUCAACAUCUCUGGUUCAAACAACAUCUUCUCACCGAGGAAGUGGCUUCAAAGAAAAUUGCCCCAUUCGGAUGCUCUUUCGCACAAUCUCUGUAAAUCUGAGAGCAACACAGACAGUGAAGGUGAAAGCGACUUUGUACAUUGUUGUGAAGGAACCACCAAGUGAUACUUGCUUAGAGAUGAUAGAGAAUGUGAAAAACAUAGACCUGUAG
rnacentral:lncRNA from 12 species